CCCGACGUUUCGACUAGAUUCCACCCGUGACCACGACAAGUGGAAUCUAGUCGAAACGUCGGGAAUAAAUUUUCAAUUAAUUUGAAUAAAAAUAAAAUCGCGAUUGCAUUGGCAACAACAAAGUCAAUUAGCUAACUGUAUGGAAAUCACGGGAUUAAGCAACAUCAACGAUAACAACUCUAAGAGCGUUGCAUUAAAUUUCUUCCAAGAUGCGUUGGGAGUUGAAGUAAAACAGAGUGAUGUAAGCAAAUGUUAUGUCAAGCAAAAGAGAGGCAGAGAAAUGACCGAUCGAAAUAAAGAGAGCAAACCCAUUAUCUUCAUUCAGCUAUUGGAUCUAUCUCUUAAACAUCGAAUUAUGAAGGAGAAAUCGAUACGCAAACAAAGGCUAUACUCUUGGGGGUAGAUAGCAGCAGCACCACCAGCAGUGGAAGGAGGGAAAUCUACAUUAACGAUGCACUCACUAAGUUUACUCAUGCAUUGUUGAUGAAAGCGAAGGCGUUUUCUUUUCGUUCCUCCUGUGCCUCUUGCAGUUCGAUUUGUAUUCGUGGAGAUCCCUUGAACCAAAGCACAUUUUUUUAUGAAAAAAUAAC